rnacentral:rRNA from 1 species
UGGGGAAUUUUGGACAAUGGGCGAAAGCCUGAUCCAGCAAUGCCGCGUGUGUGAAGAAGGCCUUCGGGUUGUAAAGCACUUUUGUCCGGAAAGAAAUCCUUGGCUCUAAUACAGUCGGGGGAUGACGGUACCGGAAGAAUAAGCACCGGCUAACUACGUGCCAGCAGCCGCGGUAAUACGUAGGGUGCAAGCGUUAAUCGGAAUUACUGGGCGUAAAGCGUGCGCAGGCGGUUUGCUAAGACCGAUGUGAAAUCCCCGGGCUCAACCUGGGAACUGCAUUGGUGACUGGCAGGCUAGAGUAUGGCAGAGGGGGGUAGAAUUCCACGUGUAGCAGUGAAAUGCGUAGAGAUGUGGAGGAAUACCGAUGGCGAAGGCAGCCCCCUGGGCCAAUACUGACGCUCAUGCACGAAAGCGUGGGGAGCAAACAGGAUUAGAUACCCUGGUAGUCCACGCCCUAAACGAUGUCAACUAGUUGUUGGGGACUUCAUUUCCUUGUAACGUAGCUAACGCGUGAAGUUGACCGCCUGGGGAGUACGGUCGCAAGAUUAAACUU